GAAGACGAUGGUAGUUAUGAAAAAUCAGAAAGUGUAUGAGUGGUUUCACGCACAAAGCUGGAAACAGAUCAAAGUUUCCAACUUCAAUCCAAGAAAUCCAAUUCUAAAUCACCCAUAUUUUCGUGUCGAUUAGAAAAAUCCGGAUAAAUCCACGAAAUCAUAUAGGUAAUCAUUUCCUAUUUUAUUCUUCAUUCUCUCUAUUUGUCCAGAAACUCCAAUUCAAAUCAACAAUCUCCUUCUCGAUCGAAUACACACCCUAUUUCUCCAUAAACUCUAAUUAUGCCCAAAGCAUCUCUUCCGCCGCUACUAUGCACCAAGGAGGCCUGAGAAGUAGAAACGAUAGGGAUAUUGUACCAGGUCCAAGGUUGAUUUCACAUAUUGGGUAUUUAGAGUUCGAUUCUUGUGGUUAGUGGAAUCGUGGGUUUAAUUUCAUGCUCUGUUCAACUUCUUGGUUUUUUUAUCCUUUGAGGCAUAUGUGGGAGUCUUUCCCCAACCAAAUCUUAUUGAUUUACUUUUAUAUUCAAAUAAAUAUUUGAUUUUGAUUGUUAGUUUCCAUAGCAGAGGAGGAACUUUGAAUGAUAAGAAGUCACUAUAUUCUUGGGAUCCAUGUAAGAGGCCAACAGCCAUGGAAGCUCUUCAGCUUCCUUUCUUUCAGGAGGAAGGGUAUAUAUGGGAAAAGAAAGAGUCGGUGGUGGAGGCAUUAUUGGUGAAACAAGUGAAAAAUUAGGAAAUAUGACGAUUGGAUCUGGAAGAGGGAGACCUUCACCGACACCAAUGAAGGCUAGAAUGGAAAAUGGUAGAUUCGAUUUGUUUUCUGGAAGGCUAUACUGACAUAUAUAUAUACCCCUUUAGUUAAUCUUCUUGUGAGAAGGGUCUUGUAUUGUGUGUGCUGGGGUCAAAAGUCAAAUAUGGAAAUAAGUGGAUUGGUCUUUAUGUUUUUAGAAU